rnacentral:misc_RNA from 1 species
AGAAUAGAAGAAAGAAGAAGUAAUUGAGGAAGAAGAAGCAAGAAAGGGACUCAGAAGAGAGAAGAAAUAGAGAAGAAUCAGAGAGAAGAAGAAGAAUGUUAUUCCUUGAGAUUUCAGUUAAUCUAUUACAAGAGUAUCUCCCCUGUUUUAUACAGUUCAGCAGCUAUAAAUGCUUAUCUAACUACUCUUAUUCAGUUACAACAACUUUUCCCUCCUUUUUAUUUCUAAAUCUCUUCCUGUAAUAUGUAACAUUAUGAUGGUUCA